GACGAACGCUGGCGGCGCGCCUAACACAUGCAAGUCGAACGAGAGAGAGGAAGCUUGCUUCCUUAAUCGAGUGGCGAACGGGUGAGUAACGCGUAAGCAACCUGCCCUUCAGAUGGGGACAACAGCUGGAAACGGCUGCUAAUACCGAAUACGUUCUUUUUGUCGCAUGGCAGAGGGAAGAAAGGGAGGCUCUUCGGAGCUUUCGCUGAAGGAGGGGCUUGCGUCUGAUUAGCUAGUUGGAGGGGUAACGGCCCACCAAGGCGACGAUCAGUAGCCGGUCUGAGAGGAUGAACGGCCACAUUGGGACUGAGACACGGCCCAG
rnacentral:rRNA from 1 species